rnacentral:lncRNA from 1 species
UGAAUGGCGUCGUGGAUUCGGCGUGAACAAAGGCGGUUCGUGGAUUCGGAUCGUUGGCUCGUGAAUUCGAGUGGCGUCGUGGAUUCGGCGUGAUUGAAGCUUCGUGGAAUCGAAGUGGAGGCGUUCGUGGACUUGAACGUGAGGGCGUGGACAACCGGAGGGUAGCGCGAAGAUUCAUAGGAGGUUAAGAGAGGUUGAGUCCGUGGAGUCGGUAAUCACCUUGUAAUCUUUUCUCUUAGUGAAUUAUUUUUUCGCGUGUUUGUCCCGUGGGUUUUU